AGUCCCUUAGUGUAGCGGUCCAUCAUGGGAGGUUCUGGUCCUCCCGACUUCGGUUCGAAUCCGAGAGGGACUACCA
rnacentral:tRNA from 2 species